GAUGAACGCUGGCGGCGUGCCUAAUACAUGCGAGUCGAGCGAACGGACGAGAAGCUUGCUUCUCUGAUGUUAGCGGCGGACGGGUGAGUAACACGUGGAUAACCUACCUAUAAGACUGGGAUAACUUCGGGAAACCGUAGCUAAUACCGUAAAAUAUUUUUAACCGCAUGGUUCAAAAGUGAAAGACGGUCUUGCUGUCACUUAUAGAUGUAUCCGCGCUCCAUUAGCUAGUUGGUAAGGUAACGGCUUACCAAGGCACCGCUGCAUAGCCGACCUGAGAGGGUCCACGCCCACACUGGAACUGAGACACGGUCCAGACUCCUACGCGAGGCAGCAGUAGGGAAUCUCCCGCAGUGGGCGAACGCCUGACGGAGCAACGCCGCGUGAGUCAUGAAGGUCUUCGGAUCGUAAAACUCUGUUAUUAGGGAAGACCAUAUGUGUAAGUAAAUGUGCACACCUUGACGGUACCUAAUCAGAAAGCCCCGGCUAACUCCGUG
rnacentral:rRNA from 1 species